rnacentral:misc_RNA from 1 species
GUGAAUCAUCAAAUUUUUGAACGCAAAUUGCGCUUCCUAGCAUCCCGGGAAGUAUGCCUGUUUGAGGGUCAGUAUUAAUAAAAAUCGGUGUGUUGCUUCUUUGUGACGCUCCGGAGUUUGGGUCAUCUUAAUAUCCUUUAGGUUUUAAGAGGCUUAAAAUUGACUUUUUUUUCGCAUUUUAGAUUGACAUAAAUUCUUUUUUUUUUUCGUUUUUCUUAAAGCUCAAAAUCCUAUUAGAUUCGACCAUU